AGAUGUUCAAGCAGUUACCCGACUUUGUGGACAGGUGAGCAAAUCGCUCGUCGCAGCCUACAUGCCUUGCGCGCCUGAGAAAAGGCUGACUACUCACCAAAAAGUCCAUGAAAUCUGGAUGAAGGAGAUGCGCAUGUUUCGAUUAACUUCAGAGAAACUGACAAAAAAUUGUCAUGCAUGAAACACUUCACUCGUUGAGGGUCUGGUACUGUUCGAAGAAAGCAACAAAAUGUUGUCUUAACAAAACUGUCACUUGCAAAACGUAAGAGUUUAACAAUCACCCGGUAUCGUAAAUCGACAGCUUGGGUCUAUGUGCUUCAUGCGUUGUGGACAUUUUUGUCUUCGUGAACUUGGGAACGUGUUUUUGCUCCACCUACAUGCUGCCUGCACGUGGUACCUUGGUACGAAGGUACCUUCGAGGGUAACAUUUUUGACUUCCACGCACUGCGCCGAAGAGAAAUAAUAAACGAUCAUUAUUGAAAGGUACCCAGCCAUGCAUAUAUGAAGCAAGCAAGGUACCUUCAUUAUUAUUAUUCGUACCUUCGUAUAUAUGUACGUACGUAUCGUACCUUAUUAUUAUUAGUAUAUAAUAAUAUAUCAGCUAC
rnacentral:lncRNA from 1 species